rfam:Homo sapiens chromosome 15, GRCh38 reference primary assembly.
AUUGCUUCUCAGCCUUUUGGCUAAGAUCAAGUGUAGUAUCAUGAGGAGUUUUCUUCGAAAUUGUGGAUUUCCACUUAUGUAACUAGUGGUGCUAUUAUGUGCCCAGCACGAAGGUAUGUAAAUGUUGCAUUAAAACCUUC